rnacentral:tRNA from 2 species
GUCGGGAUAGCUCAGCUGGUAGAGCAAAGGACUGAAAA